rnacentral:rRNA from 1 species
GACGAACGCUGGCGGCGUGCUUAACACAUGCAAGUCGAGCGGAAAGGCCCUUUCGGGGGUACUCGAGCGGCGAACGGGUGAGUAACACGUGAGUAAUCUGCCCUUGGCUUUGGGAUAGCCACCGGAAACGGUGAUUAAUACCGGAUACGACACAGUUUCGCAUGAGAUCUGUGUGGAAAGUUUUUCGGCCAGGGAUGUGCUCGCGGCCUAUCAGCUUGUUGGUGGGGUAAUGGCCUACCAAGGCUUCGACGGGUAGCCGGCCUGAGAGGGUGACCGGCCACACUGGGACUGAGACACGGCCCAGACUCCUACGGGAGGCAGCAGUGGGGAAUAUUGGACAAUGGGCGGAAGCCUGAUCCAGCAACGCCGCGUGAGGGAUGACGGCCUUCGGGUUGUAAACCUCUUUCAGUACCGACGAAGCGAGAGUGACGGUAGGUACAGAAGAAGCACCGGCCAACUACGUGCCAGCAGCCGCCGUAAGAC